rnacentral:rRNA from 1 species
CAGCCGCCGCGGGAAUACGUAGGUGGCAAGCGUUGUCCGGAAUUAUUGGGCGUAAAGGGCUCGCAGGCGGUUUCUUAAGUCUGAUGUGAAAGCCCCCGGCUCAACCGGGGAGGGUCAUUGGAAACUGGGAAACUUGAGUGCAGAAGAGGAGAGUGGAAUUCCACGUGUAGCGGUGAAAUGCGUAGAGAUGUGGAGGAACACCAGUGGCGAAAGCGACUCUCUGGUCUGUAACUGACGCUGAGGAGCGAAAGCGUGGGGAGCGAACAGGAUUAGAUACCCGCGUAGUCCCUGUCUCUUAUAC